UUCUCUCUCCCCCUCCCUCCCCCUUCUCUCUCCCCCUCUCUCCCUUCUCUCUCCCCAACUCUCCCUCCUCUCUCCACCUCUCCCCUUCUCUCUCCGUCUCUUGCUCCAUCACUUCUACAACCGGUACUUCCAGUAGUGCCGCAUUGAGCUUCAAUGAACAUUUCCAGCUAUCAAAACCACCACCACUACCCCCUGGACCAGCCACGGACUACCCAGGUUUGAUGCCCCAAAGUCCGCCUCCACCUCAUCCACCACCCAUUGAGCCAGUGGAAGCAGUGGAGAGACACCAGUGCUCAACACCCUCUCCCCAGGUUUAGGUGACCCUAGCCAUGCUAGUGAUGGGAAUGGAGGGGCAUCUAUGAUGGAUGCCAGCAUCAUGACUUCCACAAGCUGUCUGUUCAAGCCAAGCCUACCACCACCACCACUUCCACCAAGGGGGGCCCUGUCGUCCGGCCUCUGCCCAUGCUCGGUGAGGGUUCCCAGGCACAGCUCCGGCCACCGAUGGCCUCCCCUUGAUGUCUCUCUCCAACCCCCUCUACAGAGAGUCUAUGAUGACUUCUCACAACUGUGCCAACACAGCCUCCUCCUCUUCCUCCUCUUCCUCCUCUUCCUCCUCCUUCGCUCCAGUCUUCCCUCCAUCCCUGCCCUGCGCUAACUGUGGCUACAUCCAGGGCUCUACAGCCCCCACUACCUCACGGCUGCCCCAAAGAGGACAGGCUAGUCCGGAGAGACUCUACUACCUCCAUCCCCUCUAUAUAUCCACAAAGAGAGAUCUAAAUUGACAAAUAAAGGUGGCCAACAGGGGGCAGCAGAGGCACACCAUUCCAUAACAACAGCUAUACUUGUAGGAGUGUUUACAUUUUGUGAUGUAACCCCAUAAUUAGGUUGGGGGUUUUUUCCCAAAUGGCACCCUACUCCCUAUAUAGUGCACUACUUCUAACCAGGAACCAUGGGGCUCUUGUCAAAGAUAGUACACUAUAUAGGGAAGGUUCUGACAUAUGUAAUAUUACUGCUACAGUAUAUUGGUGGGGCUUACUAUGUGGUUAUCUGGAUCUGUAGCCAGUGGGUGGGGUUUACUAUGUGGUUAUCUGGAUCUGUAGCCAGUGGGUGGGGCUUACUAUGUGGUUGUCUGGAUCUGUAGGCAGUGGGUGGGGCUUACUAUGUGGUUGUCUGGAUCUGUAGCCAGUGGGUGGGGCUUACUAUGUGGUUGUCUGGAUCUGUAGCCAGUGGGUGGGGCUUACUAUGUGGUUGUCUGGAUCUGUAGCCAGUGGGUGGGGCUUACUAUGUGGUUGUCUGUAUCUGUAGCCAGUGGGUGGGGCUUACUAUGUGGUUGUCUGGAUCUGUAGCCAGUGGGUGGGGCUUACUAUGUGGUUGUCUGGAUCUGUAGCCAGUGGGUGGGGCUUACUAUGUGGUUGUCUGGAUCUUGCAGGCAGUGGGUGGGGCUUACUAUGUGGUUGUCUGGAUUUGUAGCUAGUGGGUGGGGCUUACUAUGUGGUUGUCUGGAUCUGUAGCCAAUGGCUUGUUAUUGGCUACCCAUAUAUUAACAUCUCAUACAGUAAGGCAUAGCAAUAGUAGCAUAGGAAUCCUGUAUAUAUGAUGUAAUAACCUAAUAAUGAAUAUUAUAUUGUCCUGACUGUCCUGAUCAGGUCAGGUUACAGGAGACCACAACACUACAGAUUAUCUCUCAACCCCCAACAGAGGAGGAGAGAUCUAGGGGUCUGAAGAUGUGGGGGUUUUAUGACCCCUCACGCCCAUGAUAGUCUUAGGCCACAGAGAAAUUCCUUUGUCCUCUCACUGUGGAGAACCUGCCUCAGAACAUUAAACAUGCAAUAAAGGGACUUUGGAACAAUGGUUUCCGUCAGCCACAAGGGUGGUUAUGACGAUAGAUGGGAUAUGAAAAUGUGUGUAAUUUUUGUUUUGUUAUUAAAGGUUAAUAGAUGACGUU